CUAGUACUCCCUCCGUCCGAAAAUACUUGUCGGAGAAAUGGAUGUAUCUAGAUAUAUUUUAGUUCUGGAUACAUCCAUUUUUAUGCAUUUCUCCGACAAGUAUUUUCGGACGGAGGAAGUACGUA
rnacentral:pre_miRNA from 1 species